CAAAACCAGCCAGUACACUUAACUCCCAGGAUACUGGGGAGACAACACAAAGGAUGGGUAGCCAGGGGGUGGCUGCUCUGUCUUCAUGGAAAUCUCCACAGGGGAUUGGACCCUCCACUACAGGAUCAUGGACAGCAGCUGCUCCCCCACAUGCCACCAAAAUGACAUCUGCCUGAAGAAGAUGGAGAGUAGCCCCAGGCCUUUCGUGACCUCUUCUUGAGCUGUGUUGCUGCUUCAGGACCCUCCAGCCACACUCACUCCAGGUUCUGCGACUCUGUGAUUCUAUUCUGGAAUCUCCACAGCUUUCCUAUCCUUUCCUUCUGACCAAAUUCUACAUUCACUUUGAGGUCAGCCGGUGCGCAUCACAAACCCUUGCCAACUCUUCUGCUUAGAGCAAGUCACUCUCAUCAGCAGCACCCGCAGCACCCUGCCUCAGCAGAUGCUUCCAAAUGUGUCCCCUUCUGAGCCAGAGAGCUCAGUCGAUAAGGCCUCAGAAGAGUUCCUGACACUCUGAGGGAACCACACCAAGCCUUUCAAGUGUUCUCCUGGGCUUCAUCUUCUGUCUACAUCACCCAGCCAAGAUACCAGCCUGCCACUGAGCUCAGCAGAUGUCCGUGGUAUGAAUGGAUUCCGAGCAGACGGCACAAAAAUGAAGAAGAUGGGAGAAUGGUUGGGAGCCACCCUCUAAUAGAGGAUUACAUUUAAAUACAUUAAAGAUGGGAGCUGUCGUAUGGGUUAGCAUAGCAACAAUGACCUUAUCAUUUCCAAGCCGACAGUACAGAUGGAUGUUCUCAUUGUCUUAAAAAUAGGUCCACGAUGAUACCGCAGGAUUGAUGGAUGGAAGUGCAUGAUUGACAAUUGAAACUGGGAUUGUGGCUAUAUUCAACCCAGGAAACUGGGGAAUCUUGGGAAGGAAUAUUUAAAAUCCAGACUCCCAAGUGCCUGUAAACCAAUUAAACAAUAGCAAGAUGAGCUUUGCUAGGAUAAGGGAGACCCUGGGUGACAUUUCCAAGCCAAGCCUGGGCAUAGCUGUUUUUCCACCCUGAGCAGCUGAGGUGCUUGCUCACGGUAGGGGGGGCAAAGAAAAAAACCGCUCAUGUGUCACUCAACUGCCCUCUGGCCCCACGUGUGGGAAUUUCUUUUAAAGAUCUUAGUAUGGGGGGACGAUAGAAUGAAAAGAGUCCGAUUAUCUACGGCAAGCCUAAUUAUAGCUUCAAGGGCGAGUACGCCAGGAAGGGUCACGUGACACGUUCCAUCCGCGAGCACUGGAGAGCAGCUGCGAACAGGAGCAGUUUCCAAUGACAGCCACCAGGUGGCAGAACAGAACGCAAACCUC